rnacentral:rRNA from 1 species
AGAGUUUGAUCCUGGCUCAGAUUGAACGCUGGCGGAAUGCUUUACACAUGCAAGUCGAACGGCAGCACGGGGGCAACCCUGGUGGCGAGUGGCGAACGGGUGAGUAAUACAUCGGAACGUGCCCAGUCGUGGGGGAUAACGUAGCGAAAGCUACGCUAAUACCGCAUACGAACUCUGGUUGAAAGCGGGGGAUCGCAAGACCUCGCGCGAUUGGAGCGGCCGAUGGCAGAUUAGGUAGUUGGUGGGGUAAAGGCUCACCAAGCCGACGAUCUGUAGCUGGUCUGAGAGGACGACCAGCCACACUGGGACUGAGACACGGCCCAGACUCCUACGGGAGGCAGCAGUGGGGAAUUUUGGACAAUGGGCGCAAGCCUGAUCCAGCCAUUCCGCGUGCAGGAUGAAGGCCCUCGGGUUGUAAACUGCUUUUGGACGGAACGAAAAGGCCUUUUCUAAUACAGAGGGCUCAUGACGGUACCGUCAGAAUAAGCACCGGGCUAACUACGUGCCAGCAGCCGCGGUAAUACGUAGGGUGCAAGCGUUAAUCGGAAUUACUGGGCGUAAAGCGUGCGCAGGCGGUUAUGUAAGACAGGUGUGAAAUCCCCGGGCUUAACCUGGGAACUGCAUUUGUGACUGCAUAGCUAGAGUACGGUAGAGGGGGAUGGAAUUCCNCG